GGUGAGUCAGUAACAUCCGUUGGUAAAAAGUAUAAAAGAGAAAGGGUUUAGUAAUAGUAAAAUACAGUAACAAUAAGUUAAAGACAGCAUCUCAAAAAUGCCAACAGAGUGCGAAAGCUGUUACAGGACAGACUGCUCAUAUGGGACAUGGUACACCUGUAACGUUAAGCAUUACUUUUGCAAUGAGCAUGCUAUGAACAGGACCCACUGUCCAGUACACCCACGCUAUCGCAGAAAGACCUGAACAAAACCCUUUCUCUUCUAUUUGAAAUUAUCAUUAACCACAUUUUUGUAUUUAGUUUAUCACAAACAAUAUACACUAACUUUAUAUUUUUGCUCCUUUUUUCUUUUUCCUGUAACAAAUAGAGUACCAAUAGCAAUGAGGAGUGUGAUGGCUGUCAUAAAACCAGUCAGUGUCUCUCAUCCGGAGUAUUGUAUUUAUGUGGACACAAUCACAGACUAUGUGAAAACUGCUCCAAUAUGAGUACAUGCCCUGUACAUCAAAGAGACCGUAGAAAAA